GACGAACGCUGGCGGCGUGCUUAACACAUGCAAGUCGAACGGAAAGGCCCUGCUUUUGUGGGGUGCUCGAGUGGCGAACGGGUGAGUAACACGUGAGUAACCUGCCCUUGACUUUGGGAUAACUUCAGGAAACUGGGGCUAAUACCGGAUAGGAGCUCCUGCUGCAUGGUGGGGGUUGGAAAGUUUCGGCGGUUGGGGAUGGACUCGCGGCUUAUCAGCUUGUUGGUGGGGUAGUGGCUUACCAAGGCUUUGACGGGCAGCCGGCCUGAGAGGGUGACCGGCCACAUUGGGACUGAGAUACGGCACAGACUCCUACGGGAGGCAGCAGUGGGGAAUAUUGCACAAUGGGCGGAAGCCUGAUGCAGCAACGCCGCGUGCGGGAUGACGGCCUUCGGGUCGUAAACCGCUUUCGCCUGUGACGAAGCGUGAGUGACGGUAAUGGGUAAAGAAGCACCGGCUAACUACGUG
rnacentral:rRNA from 1 species